rnacentral:rRNA from 1 species
CGGGUGAGUAACGCGUAAGAACCUGCCCUUGGGAGGGGAACAACAACUGGAAACGGUUGCUAAUACCCCGUAGGCUGAGGAGCAAAAGGAGAAAUCCGCCCAAGGAGGGGCUCGCGUCUGAUUAGCUAGUUGGUGAGGCAAUAGCUUACCAAGGCGAUGAUCAGUAGCUGGUCCGAGAGGAUGAUCAGCCACACUGGGACUGAGACACGGCCCAGACUCCUACGGGAGGCAGCAGUGGGGAAUUUUCCGCAAUGGGCGAAAGCCUGACGGAGCAAUGCCGCGUGGAGGUGGAAGGCCUACGGGUCGUCAACUUCUUUUCUCGGAGAAGAAACAAUGACGGUAUCUGAGGAAUAAGCAUCGGCUAACUCUGUGCCAGCAKCCGCGGUAAU